rnacentral:rRNA from 1 species
UGGCUCCGUUCCGGGGUCCGAGUUGUAAUUUGGAGAGGAUGCUUCGGGCGCGGCACCGGUCUAAGUCCCUUGGAACAGGGCGUCAUAGAGGGUGAGGAUCCCGUAUGUGACCGGUGACCAAGUCCAUGUGAAGCUCCUUCGACGAGUCGAGUUGUUUGGGAAUGCAGCUCAAAAUGGGUGGUAAAUUUCAUCUAAAGCUAAAUACCGGCCAGAGACCGAUAGCGCACAAGUAGAGUGAUCGAAAGAUGAAAAGCACUUUGGAAAGAGAGUCAAAAAGUACGUGAAAUUGUUGAAAGGGAAGCGCUUGUAACCAGACCUGCCGUCGGGUGCUCAGCGGGCACUUGUGCCCGCCUAUUCACCCGCGAUCAGGCCAGCAUCGGUUUUGGCGGCCGGAUAAAGACUCGAGGAAUGUAGCUUCGCUUCGGGGAAGUGUUAUAGCCUCGGGUGCAAUACGGCCAGCCGGGACCGAGGACCGCGCUUCGGCUAGGAUGCUGGCGUAAUGGUUGCAAGCGACCCGUCUUGAAACACGGACCAAGGAGUCUAACAUCUAUGCGAGUGUUUGGGUGUUAAACCCAUGCGCGGAAUGAAAGUGAACGGAGGUGGGAACCCUCAAGGGCGCACCAUCGACCGAUCCGGAAGUUUACGGAUGGAUUUGAGUAUGAGCAUAGCUGUUGGGACCCGAAAGAUGGUGAACUAUGCCUGAAUAGGGUGAAGCCAGAGGAAACUCUGGUGGAGGCUCGCAGCGGUUCUGACGUGCAAAUCGAUCGUCAAAUUUGGGUAUAGGGGCGAAAGACUAAUCGAACCAUCUAGUAGCUGGUUCCUGCCGAAGUUUCGUAAGUCCUUCCCGAGGAGCCCCCCUAAUAUAAGCCUAUACUAACAAUUUCAAUAGCCUCAGGAUAGCAGUAACGUUUUCAGUUUUAUGAGGUAAAGCGAAUGAUUAGAAGCCUUGGGGAUGAAACAUCCUUAACUUAUUCUCAAACUUUAAAUAUGUAAGAAGUCCUUGUUACUUAGUUGAACGUGGACAUUUGAAUGCACCGUUACUAGUGGGCCAUUUUUGGUAAGCAGAACNGGCGAUGCGGGAUGAACCGAACGUGGGGUUAAGGUGCCGGAAUGUACGCUCAUCAGACACCAAGGGGGAGACUUGUGGUGUCGGGCUGGGGGGAGGACCCCCCAGCGUCAGUNUGCUCAAGGCGAGGUCUUUGACCUGUUAGGGGUCGGUGGUCGCUCCGCGACGGCCUACCCUCCGCUGUCCCCUCCCGCGGGGGGGGGGCAGCUCACAGAUCAAGCAAAGGCCGGCGGCAGGAUGCCGUUGGAGAUAUGAUCGGCCC